UCUAUACCUAGAAAUGAAUGUCACAGUUUGUAUGUUUGUGUAUGAGUGUUUGAAGGUAAAAAUAAUUUGUCUGUUUACCUGCUGGAGGAUAAUUUCCUUCUGGAACUCAACUAGAGCAUCCACAAGCUGCUCCAAAUGCAGAACAGGAGUUGCACCGUUGCAUCUGGCAUGAAAACAGUGGACCAGUGUGCUCUACGCUCACGCCAUCUCCACAACAGAGAACAGGCUGCCGAACAUUAUGGACAACCAGCAUGAAUCCCUGGCAUCCAUCUAUGAUUUCUAGAACUGCGGCGGUAAUACUGGGGUUUGACAAGACCACACUAUGGCUGUCCUGUUCAGGGAGAUCUAACAAAUGUCUCUGGGGCCCAGUUGUUCAAAAAGUGCAAUCUGGAUCGGAAUGAUCCGGAUUUGGAAAUCCCAUGUUUUGCUAUCCAGGAUCACGUAAUUCAUCUUACUUUUGUGGCAGUUUUUCAAAGCAACAUUGGAUUGGAUCACCCUGAUCCAGAUACAAACUUUUCAAGAUUACCAAAUCCAGAUUUCCAGUGCUCUAUAUGGGACUACAUAUCACAUUGUAGGCCGUUAAUGAUAUAAAGACCAAGAGCUAGAACAGCCAGCCUGGAGUCAUUUUUAUCUGAAGAGACAUCUUCAUCAUCAUCUGACCCUCAACUAAUCCAAGAAAACCAAACAAAUAUACAGCAUUCACGGAUUCACUGUGGAUAUUUUGAGAGUGCUGUAAAUCAUAAAAAGUCUAAAUGUCCAAUAGUUAAAAUAAAGAUCGUUUAGAGUUCAGAGAGCAGCUUUUUGGAGGCGAUCUCAGAA